UACGUAGGGGGCGAGCGUUGUCCGGAAUUACUGGGCGUAAAGCGCGCGUAGGCGGCCACCGCAAGUCGACUGUGAAAUCUCCGGGCUUAACCCGGAAAGGUCAGCCGAUACUGCGGGGCUAGAGUGCAGAAGGGGCAACUGGAAUUCUCGGUGUAGCGGUGAAAUGCGUAGAUAUCGAGAGGAACACCUGCGGCGAAGGCGGGUUGCUGGGCUGACACUGACGCUGAGGCGCGAAAGCUAGGGGAGCGAACGGG
rnacentral:rRNA from 1 species